CAACUAAUGGUAGUCGACAAACAUAAAUAAAUUUUCAUAUUUUUAGAGUUUUAAACAGAUAUAUAUACUCUUAUGAGUAUAAACCUAUUUGUUUUCAUAAGUUAUUGGCCGUUAGAUCUACCAUUUUGACCCUUUCCACUCGUUAGAUUAUAUUAUUUAACCAAUCACCUACUCAAUCUUAGGGGACUACUAUCAUCCUAACUAAGAAUCACUAUCAUCCUAACCGCAUAUCCUCAUGUUUGAAAACUAAUAAAUACAAAAGAUCUAUACUCAAAAGAGUAUAGUAUCCCUGCUAUGCUAUCGGAAGUAUGAAAGAUCUGAUGUUUUCGACUUUUGAACCCUUGGAUUAAGAGUUAUACGGUUGAUGAGAUGAUUGCGGUCCCCUUAGAGUUGAGUAGUACCCCUAGGAUUGACUAGUUCCUACAUGAUAAUAGUAUUAAUUCGAAUGUUAGAAAUGAUUAAAUGAUCUGAUCUAAGAGCCAAAAAGUCGGAAGUAUCAGAUCCUCUAUACUUUCGAUAUCAUAGUAGUUCUACUAUACACCACACACGAUA
rnacentral:lncRNA from 1 species